UGCUGCUAAGAUAACUGAACUUGUUUACUGAUGAAAUGCUGUGAAGUUGUGUUUGUACUCUUGUACAGCUAGGUAUGAGAUGAUGUAAGUUACAAGUUGUUUCUUGUAUUCUGGAUUUGUCAUCCUAGACGGUGCAACUCAGUCUAAAAUAUAGUUUCAAGUGAAGAUCAAAGUAGACUUAGAAGCUACAGAAAUGAACAGAACAAAUUCUUCCUGGACCUACAUUUUCUCAGUUGUGACUUCACCUCAUAGUUAUUUAUUUUGCUAAAUUGAUUUGCUUUUUCUAGGAUGUUACAUUAGCAGCAUAGCUAUACAAAUAACUGAUGAGUAUACUUAUGUCAUUAAUUCAUUUGUUUUUGUCUUUGUGCUUUGUUCGUUUAGUUUUUGUUCUUAUUCAUUUAGAUGUACUGUAUCCUGAAACAUAGUUAAAUUCUAAUACUAAUACAAUGUGUAUUUUGCUCAUUCAUUAGGUUGACUCAACUGCUUGCGAAUCAUCAGGACAAGUUACCAAUCUUAAGUCCCAGUUGUCAUCAUUGGAGAGAGGGAAUGUUGAACUUAGGAGGCAGAUUAAUGAACUAUCCAUGAAACUUCAAAUAGCUGGACAAGGAAAAGAUGAGACUUUGUACAAGCCUGGUCCGUUCGGAACUGUCAAAGCUUUGAGAACAAAUCCAACUGUAACCCCUGAUGAAUCUGUUAAUCCCAGGUUGGCCAAGAUAUUGGAAGAGGUUGCUGUGAAAAAGGAACUCAUUGUUGCAUUGGCAAACACCAACGUGAGGGAGAUGCUCGAAGUUUGGUUUACCAAUAUCAAACGAGUUGGUAUUCCAAACUACCUGGUUGUGGCGUUGGAUGAUAAUAUAGAAAGCUUAUGCAAAUCUAAAGGGGUUCCAGUCUACCGGCGUGAUCCUGAUGAAGGCAUCGAUAACAUUGCAAAAACUGGUGGAAACCAUGCCGUCUCUGGACUUAAGUUUCGUGUUUUAAGGGAGUUCUUGCAACUUGGAUAUAGUAUUCUCCUCUCUGACAUUGAUAUUAUUUUCUUGAGGAAUCCAUUUGAUCACCUUUACAGAGAUUCUGAUGUGGAGUCCAUGAGUGAUGGCCACAACAACAUGACAGCUUAUGGUUUCAACGACGUGUUUGAUGAGCCUUCUAUGGGUUGGGCCAGAUAUGCUCACACAAUGCGGAUUUGGGUUCACAACUCUGGGUUUUUCUAUAUUAGACCAACAAUUCCUUCUAUUGAACUUCUGGAUCGAGUGGCUGGACACCUUUCUCGUGAGCCAAAGUCAUGGGACCAGGCAGUUUUCAACGAGGAGCUGUUCUUCCCGUCUCAUCCUGGUUAUGAAGGCCUUCAUGCAUCCAGGAGAACCAUGGAUAUUUAUCUUUUCAUGAACAGCAAAGUCCUCUUCAAGACAGUGAGGAAAGACGCUCAGCUCAAGAAGCUAAAGCCAGUGAUUGUGCAUUUGAACUACCAUCCUGACAAGUUAGAGCGAAUGAAAGCAGUUAUCGAAUUCUAUGUCAACGGCAAACAAGAUGCACUGCGUCAUUUCCCUGAUGGGUCAGAAUGAGGAAAUUACAGAUUUUGCCGGUAAAGAAACCUAUACCCUCUGUAUCCUACUCAUUUUGGUGUUGUCCUGGCAUUUGGAUCUACAUGUGGCCGAUGUGGGAUCUUCACACGUGCGAGAAUGUUUGGCGAGUGCAAUAUGGAUGCAUUGACCUUUAGCUAUUUGGAUUGGAUAUCUCCUUGGUCUCUAGUCUAGUAGUCUCUACUAACCUUAACAGUUCUGUAGCAAAUUUGUACAAGCUUAGAUAGAUGGCUGAUCACAUUUUUCUUUACCGUAUGAUCUUUUGAGGUACGAAUUUAGGAAAUGGAGGCGGUUUCUUCUGAACUAGUGAUACGAUUUUAUGCUGGUGUUUUCUUGUGAAUUGAGAACCUUUUACAGUUCCAAUUUAUUUAUUAAUUUUGAUAUUAUCCGCAGUUGAAGCACUGUUGUGGACAGGAUUUGAGCACAGGAUUCUUUGGUCUCCCGUGCCUCCCGUGCCUGUCAUGCGUUCUUUGGUCUAGAGGUAGUACAACUAGUGAUGUGAUCUGUUUGUUUGUUUCUGCCGCGUCGCUUGAACAAAAGGCAACGUGGGGAACACGUAGUCGGGUAUGGAUUCCCAACAUAUGUCCGUUCGUCCGAUGCUAACGUCGGCCUGGUGCCUCUUAUAGUGUAUAGCGGGCCAUGCGUUAUCACCUCGCCUAAGGCUGGUGUGACAAUACCGACUUGUCUCACACUAUGACCUUAUUUAGUUCCCAAAAUAUUUUGUAAAAUUUUUCAUAUUCUCUAUCACAUUAAAUCUUGUGGCAUAUACAUAGAGCACUAAAUAUAGAUAAAAAAUAACUAAUUGUAUAGUUUAUUUGUAAUUUGCGAAACGAAUCUUUUGAGCCUAGUUAAUCCAUGAUUGGACAAUAUUUGUCAAAUACAAAUGAAAAUACUACUCUUCAUAUUUUGCAAAAAAAAUUGGAAGUAAACAAGACCUAUUUUGCUUCACGUUGUUUAGCUCUGCUCUAUAUAUUUUUUUAGCUAAAUAGGUAUAGCUUAAAAAAUUCUGCUCAGCACCUAAAUAGAUGUUUUAGAAACUUUCUUUUAUGGAACUGCUAUUUAAUAGAGUUUAUGGAGCAAAGUUAGUGAAACAGCACCAAACAAACCCUUAAUACUUCUAAAAAAAUUGAAACCAUGCACAUCCAUAGUGUAUCUGUUGAUGAACAUUGGCAUAAAAUUUGAGAUUCAAACUUUAUUCAAAAAAAAUCAUAUGAAAAUAACAAAUUUCAGAUGCAUAUGCACCUAAAAUUUAUUAUUUUCGUAUGUAUUUUUACAAAACAAGUUUGAAUCUAUUUUUUUGUGGCAAGUAUUCAUCAAUAGAUGCACUAUGGAUGUGCAUAGUUUCAAACAUUUUGAAAACUUUUAAUUAUGUUUUCCAAUGGGUUUUCAUGAUUUGCAUUGAGGAUAUGGUUUGCACUAAAAAUUUCACCUAGUUAGUCAAUGGAUUCAUUUAUUUUUCUUAUAUAAUAAAAAAAGAAGACAAAGGUGGUCAAUAAAGGAUUAUAAUCUCGCUUGUCCGAACUCAUCAAUGUCCUUGUGCUGCAUGUCAUAGUUACAACAUCGUUUAGAUGGGGAUGAACCAAAGAAUAUGGUGCAACGAAAUUAUCUCAUCUACUACUCUUCCGUUACCGAAUCACCUUGUCCCACAUGUCAAGGUAGUGUCUGGUUCAAAGUCAUUAUGAAGAAGUAUAUAUCUCUCUAGAUACCAAACAACACCGUCCCAACAUAAAACGGAGGUACCAACCCAUUCCACUUGCACGUGCGUGAGUGUUCGUAUGUGCUUCCCUGUUCUCUACGUCAAACCAUGAACUAGAGCCCAUAGGGGCAAUGGCAAGCAUACUGGUGGCGAGGCAAGUAAGGGCGAGGCGGGGUGCCUGGCGAAGACAAACACGUCACCAGCCAGGGAUGAGUGCAAACAUACGAAUAUGAGCAAAGGAACACAAAGUGGGGGACAACAUCGUCCCAACACAAAACGGAGGUACCAACCCAUUCCACUUUGCAUGUGCGUGAGUGUUCAUAAGUGCUUCCCUGUUCUCUAUGUCAAACCAUGAGCUAGGGCCCAUAGGGGCAAUGGCAAGCAUACUGGUGGCGAGGCAAGUAAGGGCGAGGCGAGAUGCGUGGAGAAGGCAAACACAUCAUUAGCCAGGGAUGAGUGAAAACAUACAGAUAUGAUCAAAGGGACACAAGUGGGGGAGCGGCCAACAAGGGGGGAAGCUUCUUCAAUAUGCAUCAAUCCCAGCAAAGGGAGCGCCUAUGCUCCAUGCGCAUAGGACAAUGGAAAAAGAUAAGGCACAGAGAUAGCAGACGAGCCUAUGGAUGACAUGUGGGUCCUAUAAUAUAACUAUCUUGCUAAUGUUAUGAUAAAUAAAAAAGAGUGGCGACCUGUCCCUCCAACUAAACAACAAAGUGGGACCAUUCCAUCCCCUGGUUUCCAAACCAAACACAAUGUCUACCUCCUACCUUCUUACUUCACUCUCCUUGAUACUUUAAAAGGUCCCCCCUCCAAGUCUAGCAGACAUCAAACCCAAGUUCAUCAAGAAGGAAGUUUGGCAUGUUAUUCUGGUUGGGGUCUAGGCACCAAGAGGAGACAUUAAAAUAUGAGUGACUAUUAUCAUUGUGUUGUGUUUCCCCAUUCUGAAACUCUUUGGACUCUUUUAGUUCUAGGGCCAACUUACAAACCUGUGGAGUGGGCACAAUUUCUCGGUACAUGGCCUUCUAGAAUCAACUAGGUACCCCCUUUGUUCCAAAUUAUAAGUUAUUUGAAGAGUUAAAAAAUUUCAAGUUUGACUAAAAUUAUAGAGAAAAUUAUAAUUUUUUUUGAUAUUAAAUAGGUAUACUAUAAAAAUAUAAUUGAUGAAGAAUCUAAUGAUACUUAGCAUCAUAAAUUUUAUUAUCUUAUCAUAUAAAUUUGGUUAAAUUUAAAAUGUUUUGAGCUCAAAAUUCUUAUAAAACAACUUAUAAUUUGGAAUAAAGUGAGUAGCAACUAUUGUGGCAGUUCCUUUAUUAUUCGUAAACUAGCAUGGAGAAGCGGCAACACAAAAAUCUCAACGCAAUGUAAUAGUUACAUGUUCGGCUCAUGGACUUAAUCACUGGUUUUGAACACAAGUUGCAAACUCCAAAGUGAGCCCGGUUGUGGACUAUUUGCGGAGACCAGGGGCCUAGGUAAGCCGCGGCAGGCCACGAGCAAAAAUAUCAAAGAAGCUCGAUCUUUCUCCUAGACGCGUGACGGAAAAAUGCUUUUCCUUUUUUACACAAACCGAAAGGUAAAGUAAAUUGCGACAAAAAAAAAGAAAAAGAAAUUAAAAAAAACACCCGACGAGUCAAUGAACAACAGCGGCACAUCAGCAUCGGAAGAGAAAAGAAAAGAAAAAUAUGCGGAGAAACCAAACCAGAAACGUGCGUGGCGCGGCCCUCCCGCGCGUCGCUCUCGUCCACCUCCCUCUCUCUCUCUCCCCCUGUGUCGCCGCGCGCGGAAGGCGUUAUCGCCUUGUCCUUCCUCUCCCUUCUCCCUGGUUUCUAUUCCCCUCCUCGCUUCUCUCCGGAAGGGGAAAAAAUUCCCAAUCCCUCUCCGGAAUCCACCGAUCCUCGGCCGCGCCGGGGCCCUAGGCGCCACCGUCGUCGCGCCCCCGCCGCGGCCGGCCACAGGACCACUCGCUGUCGGCCCUUCCGGACCCGGCGCCGCCUCCGCUGGUGCCCAGGUAAGGGGGUUCGUCGCGCCUUUUGUUUCCUGCCGCCUCACGUACGCGACUCUUGUUUCAGUAGUUUUGGUCGGGUAACCAGCUGUCUAUAUUUCACCUUGCGAUUCACGCUGAUAUUGAGCUUAGCGUGCGUAAUCAUAACCGAAUUCAGCCCAAUCAGUUAUGUAGGAUGCCUGGCGUUUUCCCUUUAGGAACAUGCGCUCGUAGUUAGUUCUGUCGGAGGACAUUGGUGGGGUCUGAGUAUUGAUCAACUUAACUAGUGAUUUUCCCUACGUUAUCUAUUUUGGCCCAUUAAAUUUGGUUGGGGAUCCAUUCAUAUUUCCCUUCCUAUUUCUGGUUCACUGGCUGGGGUGCCUCCGGGGAAAUGUAGAAAGAAGAUUAUAACACUCUAACAUCCAUCGGGAGGCAAGUUCAUUCACCUACCUAGUGGUUCUGGUAUUUGAGCAUGGCUAUAUAAAAUCAUAAAAUGUUGAUUGUGGUCGAGGCUUCGGAUCAAAUGAUAAUGUAUUGGCUAGGUAGCCAAAGUUUUUCUGUUCAGCUUGUUGGUAAAAUAUUAAGCAACGAUCUGUAGGAAAGACUUGAAACAAACUAAAUAUUGGCUAAAUAACUAGUGCAGCGUUUACAAUUUUCUGGCAGGCUAAAUGAGUUCCAUAGAAGCAAACAUGCACACAUCACUUAUUUUGCCCCCAUAUUGACAUAGCAUUAACGUUUUUUUCCCCUGUAGAAUUAUCAUAGCUGAUGAACUUAGGUUCCCAUUUUCAAAUAGCCAAGACUAUUGCUACUGAAAUGAAAUAAUCAUAGCGAUAUUAACUGCAGCUUCUAUCUUUGCAAACUGAUUGUAGUUUAGUGAGUACACUUAGUCUUUUAACAGUUUUGAGGCGCACUUAGUUUCUUAUCUGCCUUCCACCAUAGCCUUUGUGGUGCUGAUGCUCCAUCUCUGCAAGAGGAAUGGAAUACUAUUACUUUAUACUCUGAAUAAGAUCAUGUAAAUGACAAUUUGACAGCUCAAAAAAAAUCACCUGUUCUAACUUCUAACUGUGUUUGUAUUUCAGGGGUGUAAGCUAGCACAUAUUACACAUCAGUGACUGAUUAAAGACUGUGUCCAGUGGAUGUGAGUUUCAUUCAGUUUGAGUUUGGCUUGAGAUGACAGUUGGAUUGACAUCUCAUCUGUUCCAAAGAGUAACUGCUACUGACAUAUUUUGCCAAAGGAACAAAUUUAGGGUACACAUUCCUCCUUGCUUUUCUUGUACUAAGACAUAGUCCUUUUUGUUAUUAUUUUAUGAUUUUUCUUCUUCUUUUUUUCUUCAGAGUCCUGAGAUGAGGAGUUCUCUUCCCUUGCCAUCCACCUCGUUUCCUUCAGUUGCUGAUGUAUGGCCCAUUCUUUUUAAUUGCUAUAAGCCAACAGCACAGUACAUUCAUUUGUGACCAAUUUCUGAAGGUGGACAAUGACUAGUAUGCCUCUUUUAUCAUGCAGAAGACAUCAGAGAUUUUUUGUGUAUCAGUUUGUUCACUUUUCUUUUGUUUUCGAAAUUUUAAAUAUGGUCAGUACAACCAAUUUAGCUGGAGCACAUGGUUUCUUCCAAGUUUGUGGAUGUGUGGCAAAAAGAAUUAAGUAAUCAUUACUGUCUUUUAAUCUGUUUCUACAUGAGAGAAACAGACAACUCUCCAUGUAGAUAUCGAUUUUAAACCUAUUUUUGUUUUGCAAAAUUUUCUUAUCUAUGUUAGACCUACUCCAAAAGAAUAUUUGAGUGUAGUUGGUUUGAGUUAUGUAGAUCACACAGCCACACACCAUACCACAAGGCAUUAGCAAUACUCACUGGUCACUAGGAAAUACAGAUAAACAAUAUGGUGCUGCAUUUGAUUGUAAAGGUGUUUUGUGACCUAAAGUUUAUCUGCACCCCUUCUGAUCAAUAGGCUAGACACCAUAUUAUAUCAUUACUAUCAUAUUUUUUAAUUAGUUUGAGAAAUGAGAACUAAUUGAUGUUGAUAACUGUAAUGUAUUUUGCCAGCACCUGCAUCCAGUGCCUACGCAUAAAAGCAACAAUUUUUUUUUUGAACCAGAACAAUGUUCUUUAUUAAAUCAUACUCUUAUAUAUGCACUUUUGGGAGUUGGAGUAAAAAUCUGUCGACCUUAUGAAAAUGACAUAUUUAGGGCCUGUUUGGUGCAGCUCACAACAGCUUCAUGAGCUGUGGUGAGCUGUUUUUUUUUUGCCAAACAUUUAUUUCUAAAACAGCUUCAUAGGUGAAGCUGUUUUUCUUCUCCUCUCACAAAGACAUGAGUUGGGAUGAAGCUGAAAAAAGUAGCUUAUUGUAGCUCUCUCCCUCAUUUCUCUCUCAUCUAUACAAGAAGUAGUUGGUGAAGCUAUUUUACCGAACACUUUUUUCAAAAUAGCUCAGCUUCAUCUAGAAAGUUGCUUAUGAAGCUAUUUUCUAAAAAAACAGCUUUACUAGUGAAGUUGAGCUGUGCCAAACAAGCCCUAGUUCGAUUGCUAAAACUACUUUACAGCAUUUCUGGUUAUAGUUUUUUAUCAACAUUUUGGCAUGAAUACUAUCUUCAAAUGUGUGCUUUUGUCCAACCAUAAAAACUUACAUUUAGGUAUAAAAGAACUAUUUAUGUAGAACUGGAUACUUGUCAUACUUCACCCCUCACAAUCUAAUGUGUAAUUACAGCCUCCUCUUGUUUCAUCCUAACUUGAGUCUUACAUUUGUUCCAAGAUAACAGCUCUGUUAUAUUCUAUCGUUGUAUGACAUUAUAGUUCUUUUUUUUUUCUUUCUAAAUUUCGCAAGUACAGUAGUUAAAAACAGAGUUACUUAGACCUGACUACACGUGUUGGUGUCUGAUUCUGGUGUGGGUCUGACUUAGCAAAAACAUUUUAUUGCCAUACAAAAUACCACAUGGAAGUCAUCAUGUCUGGCUGGGAAACCCUUUUUAGGACUAUGGUGUCCAAGUUGUACAGGUUAAAAGGUCACUGGUUUUGCCUCCUCAUUGUAGAUCUUACAGAGUAACUCUGGUUUUCUUUGCAGAGGCGAUACUGUUGGGAUCACAAUAUGUUAGAGAGUAGCUACAGGCCCAUGCUUUAUACACCUCGCAGAUACAGAUCUUUGGGCUUCAGAUCUUGUGCCUUGCCAGUUCCUUUGAAGGAAAUUCCUCUUGUCAAGAAUGCAUCAUUAGCACUAACUAGGUAAUUCCCUUGUACAAUUCUUUAUUUAUGAACUUUCUGAUUACACAGACUUGGUAAUGAGCAAACAGUGAAACAGUAGUUUGGAUCGGAUCCUACCAUUGUCGUGUCGUGUGAGUGCAAACGCAGUUAAUCAGGACAUUGGAGAAAGUCAUCUAUGUUAGAAUGUCUGUUUUUCCAUAAUUGGGCUUACCCUAACCAGGGUGGCCAUAUAGUUAGGGAUACAUGGGCCUCAUGGGCCUAGCCUCAUGGGCCUAAUACUCAUAUACUCUAACAUCCCCCCGCAGUCUGAACUACCGUCGCAGCGGAGUUCGCAGACUGGAGACGAAAGAAAAGAGGUACAACACACGAGCCCCCCCACAGACACAACUAGCCACUGGUGAUGUUGAGGCUGGAGCGGAACUCGGUGAAGGUUGAGGACGGGAGACCCUUGGUGAAGAUGUCGGCGAACUGGGAGGUGGUCGGGACGUGGAGGACCCGAACAUCGCCGACAGCGACCCGGUCCCGGACGAAGUGUAGAUCGAUCUCCACAUGCUUGGUCCUCUGGUGCUGCACAGGGUUGGUGGAGAGGUACACCGCACUGACGUUGUCGCAGUAGACCAGCGCGCUCCGGGAGAGAGGGCUGUGGAGCUCGGUGAGGAGCUGCCGGAGCCAGGAAGCCUCAGCCACGCCGUUGGCGACAGCACGGUACUCCGCCUCGGCACUGGAGCGGGAGACGACCGGCUGGCGCUUGGACGACCAAGACACCAGGUUGCCGCCUAAGAAGACGGCGUAGCCGGAGGUGGAGCGGCGGGUGUCCGGGCACCCGGCCCAGUCGGCGUCGGUGUAGACGACGAGCUCGGUGGAAGACGACCGUUGGUGAAGGAGAAGACCAAAGUCGACUGUGCCGCGGAGGUACCGUAGGAUCCGUUUGAGAGCGGUGAGGUGUGGCUCCCUGGGAUCAUGCAUAUGGAGGCAGAUCUGCUGAACUGCAUACGUGAUAUCCGGCCGGGUGAAGGUGAGGUACUGAAGUGCCCCGGCAAGACUCCGAUAUGCAGUGGGAUCUGUCACUGGUAUACCCUCAGCCUCCGAGAUCUUGCCCUGGGUGUCAACUGGAGUGGAGCAGGGCUUGCAGUCAGUCAUCCCAGCUCUCUCCAGGAUAUCAAGAGUGUACUGCCGCUGGUGAAGGAGUAAUCCAGCAGGGUGAGGCUCAACAGUAACCCCGAGGAAGUGAUGUAGUGUACCCAGAUCCUUCAUAGCAAACUCCUGCUGAAGAGAGGCGAUGAUCCGCCGAAGGAGUGACUCAGUGGAGGCUGUGAGGACAAUGUCAUCAACAUAGAGCAGCAGAUAUGCAGUCUCAGCCCCAUGGUGAUAGAUGAACAGAGAGGUAUCUGACUUGGCCUCCACAAACCCCAGAGUCAGUAGAAAAGCAGCAAACCGAUGGUUCCACGCCCGGGGGGCCUGCUUGAGGCUGUAGAGAGACUUGUUGAGCCGACACACCAUGUCUGGACGAGAAGAGUCAACAAACCCCGCCGGCUGACUGCAGUAGACUGUCUCAGUAAGAACGCCAUGUAGGAAGGCAUUCUUGACGUCCAGCUGAUGCACGGGCCACCCGCGUGUGAGAGCUAGCGAGAGCACCGUGCGGACAGUGGCCGGCUUCACCACCGGGCUGAAGGUCUCGUCGUAGUCGACACCGGGCCGCUGAGUGAAGCCCCGGAGAACCCAGCGAGCCUUGUACCGCUCAAGGGUGCCGUCAGCCCGGCGCUUGUGGGUCCAGAUCCACUUGCCGGUGACGAUGUUGGAGCCCGGCGGUCGUGGCACCAGAUCCCAUGUUUGGUUGGCGAGGAGGGCCGCGUAUUCCUCUUCCAUCGCGCGGCGCCAGUGAGGGUCCAGCAAGGCCUCGCGGACGGAAGAGGGUACCGGUGAGACCUGCGAGUCCCCGGGCAUCGCCGCAAGAGCCCGAGGCUGCAGGGUCCCAGCCGCGUGUCGCGUCACCAUCGGGUGAACAUGACGCGGGUGUCGGUGAAGGAGCGGUGGGUGGUACACCGGCGUCGUGGCCCGAGAGGCUGGGUGCCUCAGCGGCGGGGUCGGUGUCGCCGGCGGGGAAGACGUCGCCGGUGGCGCAGGUGACCCCGGCGAAGAGGGGGCCACCGGCGCCGCCGGAGGCAGCGGCGCCAGCCGGGCACGUCGCUGGUAGACGCGCACCGGCUGGGCGAAACGUGCCGGUGGGGCUGGUGUCGAAGGUGCCGACCCGAGACCCGCGUCAGGCUCCGGGGCCGGGCUGGAAGGUGACCCCUCGGGACCCGGGCAGGGUAGAGGCCCCGAGGUGUCACGAGCGACAGGCGACGUAGAAGUACCUGCAGGAAACACCGGGAAAGGUGGCUCGACCACCGGGUCAGUAGGAAACACAGAGGAGAGGUCAAGCUCCGAGGUGGAAGCAGGAGUGGUAGUGGUGGAAAAGGGGAAGAUCGACUCGUCGAACACCACAUGUCGAGAUAUGAGGACUCGACGAGAGGUAAGGUCGUAGCAUCGGUACCCCUUGUGAUCCGGGGAGUACCCAAGGAAGACACAGAGGGUCGAACGGGGUGCCAGCUUGUGAGGAGCAGUGGCGGUGGUGUUGGGGUAACACGCACACCCAAAGACUCGAAGGUGAUCAUAGCGAGGAGGGGUACCAAAGAGAGCGUGGUGUGGUGUGGGAGCUGGACAAGCAGCGGAAGGAAGGCGGUUAAGGAGGUAAGUGGAGGUGUGCAAGCUCUCGGCCCAGAAGCGAGCAGGAAGAGAGGCCUGGAGCAGGAGAGUGCGCAGGGUGUCGUUGGUGGUGCGAAUCAUGCGCUCAGCCUUGCCGUUCUGGGAGGAGGUAUACGGACAAGACAUGCGCAAAUGGACACCGUGAGAGAGAAAGAAGGCGCGGGAGGUGGAGUUGUCGAACUCCCGACCAUUGUCACACUGGACAGCCUUGACAGUGAGGCCAAACUAUGUGGACACCCAAGCGAAAAAGUGGACAAGCGCGGGGAAAGCAUCAGACUUUGCACGUAAAGGAAAAGUCCAGGAAUAAUGAGAAUAAUCAUCCACCACCAUAAGAUAGUAUUUGUAUCCAGAAAUACUGAGGACUGGAGAGGUCCAUAAGUCACAAUGUACAAGGUCAAAAAUGCGGGCCGCAUGAGAAGAACUAUGAAAAGGAAGACGAACAUGACGGCCCAGUUGGCACGCAUGACACAAAUGCUCAUCGUGAGCCCGAGUACAUCGAAUAUCGGAACUACGACUAAGCUGCAUCAAAGCAUCACGUCCAGGAUGGCCGAGACGCCGGUGCCAAGUAGUGGAGGUAGUGGUGGCGAAGGCAGCUGACAAAACUGGCGAAGGAGGUGAGGCAGAUGCCGGAAAGCGAAGAGUGUAAAGGGGCCCCGUGCUAUCACAUCGGAGCAGAGGACGCCGGGAAGCCAAAUCCUUCACAGUAAGACCAGAAGAGUCAAACUCCACAGAACAAGAAUUGUCAGCUGUAAAACGACGAAUAGAAAGAAGAUUGUGAACCAUAGAAGGAGCAACAAGAACAUCAGGAAGAUGAAAGGAACCAUGGGGGCCGGCAGCACCCACAGAGGUGACAGGAAGACAAGACCCAUUUGCGACCAUAAUGGAUGAAGGGAGAGAGGAAGAUGGAGGGUGAACAGAAGAAAGUAUACCGGGGUUAGGAGUGGUGUGGUAAGUAGCCCCAGAGUCGGCGACCCACUCCGGCCCAACAGGAGGUGUCAGGGCCAUGGUGCUGAAGGAGUGCGCCAAGGCCGCCUGGUCCCAGCCGGCCGACCCGGGCAAGGUCGGGGGUGGAGUAGCCCACGAGGACGCAGGGAACGGGGCCACCCACGGGGUCACUGAGGGGAAUCCCGGGGGGGCACCCGCGAGCAUGGCCGCCGGCGGGCGAGGCUCGCCACCGGAAGCCUGGAACGGCCACAUGGAGAUGCGCCCUGACCAUGGGUUGUGGAAGGAUGGCCAGGGUGCACCUCGUGGAGGUGGCGACGUCGUGGUGCCCCCACGACCUGCUCCACGUCCCCCGCCACGACGACGGCGGCCGCCACGGCCCCCCCCACCCCCGCUCGGCCCGGGGGGAAGAGGACCCAGAAGUGACGACUGUGGUGGUGUGGCGUGACGGGGCGGAGGAGUGGCAGCCAGAGCAGUCGAGGAGGACGAGGACCCCGGAGCGGCGGUGGACCCAGGCUGUAGGCCCUGAGUGAGCUCCUCCAUGACUAGAUCGUCACGGACCUGCAGGAAGGUGGGGAAGGGCCGCUGCCGGGUGAUCCACGUCCGGAGGUAGGAGUAACGAUCACUGAGCCCGCGGAGAACGUUGAGGACCAAGAUGCGGUCCUCCACGGGCCAGCCGAGGUCGCCGAGGGAGUCCGCCAUACCCUUCAUCUGGCGGCAGAACUCACUAACGGAGAGGUCGCCCUGGACGCAGGUGCGGAAGCUCGCGUCGAGCCGCAGAGCCCGGGCCUCGGCGUUGCCCAGGAACUGGCCCUCGAGCGCCAGCCAGGCCCCCCGAGCGCUCGGGGUGUUGCGGACGAGGUCGUGGAGGUCCAGGGAGAUCGUCCCCAGGAUCCAGGAGAGGACGAUGCUGUCGAGACGGAGCCACGAAGCGGUCUGGACCGCGGCCACGGCGUCGAGGAGGACGUGGUCGUCGAGGGCGUAGCGGCGGAGGGUGAGGAGGACCAGGUCCCGCCAACGAGCGUAGGAAGGCGACUCGGGCUCGAGUACGACAGGGACCAGGAGCCGGAUGUUCUGAACACCCCCAGCCUGGUAGUGAAGCUGGGUCACGAGCGGGUCGGCCGGAUCGUGCCAGAGAACCGCCGCGGUGUUAGCCACGCGGUGGCCGGCCGAGCCAGAGGACGUGGCCCCGACGUCGGCCGAGGCAGGAAGGCCGAGGAGCUGCUCCGCUUCGGCGAUCUGGCGGGCCAAGGCAUCAGCCGCAUCUCGCUCGCGCUCCCAGGCGAUGGCAGCCUCACGCACGCGGGCCAUGCCCUCUUGCGCCGCGGCCCGGGCAGCAUCAAGGGCGGCAGCGAGGACGGAGUUGGUGGUGUGGGCGGCUGGAGGAGGGGCAGGGAUGACAGACGGGUGCAGGAGGGCGUCGGUGCCCGCGCCCGGCAUCCCCAGCCCAGCAGACAUGGCUGCAGCAGCCCCAGCAGCCAUGGCCGCAGCCAGGGCAUAGACUCCGGACAGGGCACCUGGUGCGUCCUCUGCUGCGACCGUGGCGUCCUCUGCCGCCGCAGGAUCGGUGGUCCUGCCCACAGCCAUGGCGGCUUGGGCAACGGAGGUCUGCAGGCCGUGGCUCCCUGCGGGCGCAGGGCAGGGGUGGUCGACCCCGGCGGGCGGCCCCUGCGGGCGCAGGCCGACCAGCUCGCUCCCUGCGGCCGCAAGGCAGGGGCGGGCGGUCCCUGCGUGCGUCCCCUGCGGGCGCAGGCCGCGCGCGUCCCCUGCAGGUGCCCUCUGCGCGAGCACGCCAGACAGCGGGAGGGGGCCAAGGACGGGCGGUGCCGUCCCGUGGGCACCAGCCGCCGGCGGGCGAGGAGCCAUGGCGGCGGCGGCGGCAGCGAGCUGCGCCCAGGUGUGGGUGGUAGAGAGAGGGGGAAACUGGUGGAAAUAGGAGGGGGGAGGAGGGGGAGGAGGAGGCCGGCCGGCCAUGGAGGUCCGGCGGCGGCGCACGCCGGCCAGGCAGUGGCUGGCGGCGGCGGCUGGUGAGGGAGGAGGAAGGAAGAAACCCUAAUCUGAUACCAUGUUAGAAUGUCUGUUUUUCCAUAAUUGGGCUUACCCUAACCAGGGUGGCCAUAUAGUUAGGGAUACAUGGGCCUCAUGGGCCUAAUACUCAUAUACUCUAACAAUCUACUGUAUGCAGUACCACUGGUUGGUGUAUCCAUAAGUGGUGGCAGGAAAUCAUACAUCUGUAGGGUGAUUACCUAUACAUCUUGUUGUGAGUGUUGAGGUUUUCACUCUUCAUUAACCUGUGGAAGUUAGAUAAUAAAUUAACCAACUAUGGCAAUAAAUUUUAUGUUUUGGCAUAUGGUGCAACUUACAUAUCUUGGCAGUGUUAUCUUUUAAAAGUUUUGAUUACUAAAGUAACAUAUGGAUUAGUCUAACACUCUACCCACUUAUUAGAUAAUAUAUGUUGAUAGCUAACAUAAUGGAGCUUGAAUUUUAAGCCUGAUCAUGCUCUUGUGUGUUGGCUACACUUCUUGGGCAGUUUUAAUUAUCUCUUAUUUGUUCCUGACCUAAGUCUUUCUUAAAGUCAUUACUAUGACUAUGCGAAUUCAUUAGGUUCAUACUUAAAUUCUCUUUAAUUUUAGUGAGGGAGAUGCAAAUAUGUGCAUGGAAAGUGGAAACAGUACCAUUGUUCGCCUAGUACACUAUCUAAAAAAAUAGAGAUGUGAAACGUGUUUGAUUUUAUUUACUUGGAAAACUGUCCAUUUAUAUAUAUUACAUCUGAAUGUACUUCAUAUCAUUUUUAGUAAUUGCUUUUUUUUUUUUUGUGUUGACAGGUCAUGUGAUACUUUACUUGCAAAUCCUGCUACCUCACUUGUGGUCCCUGCAAUUGGGAUUAUUGUGUUUGCUCUGUGGGGUUUUUUGCCUCUAGUGCGUGAUAUUAGAAACCGUUUUGAUGUAUGUGUUCUGCGACAUGUAACCAUAUUGUAUUAUUUUUCAUUUACAUGAUCAUAUACUAGGCUAGCUUUUUCUUGAGGGCAUAUACUACACUAGUUAAAAUAGUUCAUAAUGGACCUUUACAGCAUGGAAGCAACUGGAAGAAGAGCCCUACAUAUUUGAUUUCUUCGUCGUACCUUCAACCUCUACUUCUCUGGACAGGAGCAACACUAAUCUGCAGGUAUAGCUCCACCAUUUUAUAAUGAUCCUUUCUGAAGUGGCAACUCUAGCCACUUGAUAUCAUCGCUGCAAUGCUAUGACCCUGUUUGUAAUAUUGAAAUCAUUCCUGUUUCCAUUGGAAUUGCACUGCAGACAGUCAGUGUUUAUCUGACUGCUAAAUGCUAAACAGUUUGUCACCCAUUUUUUAGCCAACUAAGUUCCUACAAGAUUCAUGUGUUUGAAAUGGGCUAUAAACAUUUUCCUUAGUUUUUGUUUUCUUUUAUUUAUCUUUCUCUUUGUCCAUGCAAUGUCUUGCAGGGGUUUGGAUCCAGUUGUCUUGCCUUCAGCAGCAAGCCAAGCUGUGAAAACACGCCUGAUAACUUUUGUGAGAUCAUUAUCAACUGUCCUAGCUGUUGCAUAUAUUCUCACAAGGUGCACAUGCUACAUCCUCAGAAAAACUUCAGUUGUUUUUUGCAAGUUGUAGCUUUGAUACCUAUUUAAGUUAUGCAAGGCACAUGUUGGAUAUUACAAUUUACAAUUUUGUCCAUGGACGAUUCUUUUCUCCCCAACUUUAGUUUUGUCUAUCAUCUUCAAGUACAAAUGGUUUGCUGGCUACAUAGCAUGAAUGGCAUUGCAUUCUGGUACAACUAGAUAAACUAAUUACCUGUUGGCGAUAGAAUUAUUUACUUAGAAGAUGUGGCCACUGAUGUUAUAUAUCAAAAAAUAUAAAAAACCUUGACCUAGGGGGUGGGUGGGGUAAGACAGGCCAUACACAGCGGCACCGUAGCCCAUGUGAGAACAACCACGACCGGGGCUGGUCCUUAGACCUGUGCUUUGGCGUGCAAUAGACGAGGGGAUUUUAAUACCCAGCCUGAAAAUCGCUCCCACGAGGAGACGAACCUAGGACCUGAGGAGUGCUACUCAAACCACCUAACCAACUCAGCUAGAGGCCCUUUCGCAUAUAUCAAAAAAUAAAGUUGGUGAGAUUGUGAGAAUAAACGGAGAUUAGCUUCAGUUUGUGCUAUACAAAUACAAAUAGAUGAGGAAUAUAUUGGAACUUCUUUGUACUUACAUCUGGGGAAUGCUAGAACUUAUAACUUUAUAAGCAUAAGGUGUUCAGAAAUGAAAUUUACUGAUGUGCUGGUAUAUGUUAGUGCCAUUUUGCGCUAACAUUAUCAAUUGUGUUGUGAUCUGUGUUAAGAUAAUUUUGACAUUGUUUAAGGAAUCAAGGAUGUGAUAUUUGUGGAAUUAUUUGCUUUGCUUUAUUGAACAUAUCCAGAUGAAAUCAAAUAACUAACAUAUUAGUUAAGCUACAAUGGUGUUUCAUGUAUUGCAAUGGUAAGAUGUGCAGAUCCGUGUUAGUCCUUGCUGCCUUGAUUUGUAUGAAAUUUAAGGUGUCUAUCUAUGUUAUCGUGUUGUUUGAUUGAUUUGGUUGCAUUGUGUUCUGUUUUAUUCAGUUUUGUUAACACUAAGAUUGUUUUUCUUCUUUUUAGCUUGAUUCAACAGGUACAGAAGUUUCUUAUGGACAUGCGCAAUCCCAGUGAUGCAAGAAACGUAAGAUCCUUAUAUCGUAACAACUAACAAGUAAAAUCUUGGUAUCUACCAAAGUUCUUUGUUACCCUUUUUCCAUCUGCUAUUUGUUUCUCUUUAUUCACAAAGGUCCUCCCCCUUUGCAAGACACACAAAAACAUAGGAACAUGUUUCACUGAUUAUGGAAUGUAGAACUUUUUUUAAGGAUCUUCUUGAGUCCUAUCUCUUGAUCUCUAAGUAAGGGCUCAGGAGGUGCCAGAUCCAACGUAAUUACUUAUAAUACUUCACUGAGGCCACCCUCUUCUAAAUUCCAUCAGCAGGAAUCUUCUUCCCCGAUGAUUGGUUUACUCCUUCAACUUUGAGUGCCUUAUGACUUUAUGAGGUUUAGGUCAUCACCAGGAACCAAUAAGAAAGACAACAGCGCCCAUGUUAGGCUUACUGCCUUUCGCAAAGAGAGCAAAGAGAAUGAGCAAGAGGCUAUAAUUAGAAGUUAUAAGAAGUGAACAUUUGGGACGAAACAGCAUGCAACACAAGAUCCUAAGUACAAAGCUACUUUUUAUGUAACACAUAAGGUAUUAACAAAAUUAAGAUGCAACUUAAACAAACCAACAAGCUUAGCCAUUAGAAUGAAGGCUGCCAUCAAGGUCAUAUUGCCAGCUGCUAAGCACCACCAACGUGCGCCAGUAGGUUACUUUUUGAUCUGUGAGGAGCUAGAGAAGGGGGAGGCAAAAGUUCCAUGUGGAUGCCACAUCAACAAUUCAUUAUUCAAUAUAUUUAGUUGCCACCUCAAGCUAUCUGGACAUCAUCUGACAAUUUUAGUCAAUGGUGAUCAUGAGAAAGGAUGCCGUGCAAGUCCAGGAUUUGAUAAUUUGAUUUUUAAACGAGGUAGAUAGUUGGAAUCAUGCUAGUUUAUGAACCUAUGUUGCAAUUUUCUCGUGGUGAUAUGAGGGCCCUUCCAAUGCACAAAUUUUCUUGGAGAAGAGAGAAUAUUGAAAGCAAUGGAAUUGCACAGGAAAACAGUAGAUUGAUUAUGGGACAUGGGGGUACAUGUACAUAUAUAGGCAAGGAUGAUUUAGGGGUGGUUUAUGGAAGUAUGACCACCAUCAGAUAUCCUUGCCUAUUAUGAUAGCAAUCAAUCUAUAGAAACCGUAACAGCCUCAAAGGCCCAUGGGCCUAUAGAAGGACCUGCCAACAAGGCCAACCCUAGUGUAUCUGUCUAACAUCUGUCUAAAAAAUAUAUAUAAUGUAUAUUUAGAAUAGCCCUUCCAAUGUAUAGUGUCUAAAUGCCCUAAUCAGCACUACCUUCCUCCAGUUUAGUAUUUUGUUGUCUCUACUCUUCUGGAUUUUGCAGCUAGGCUAUGUCUCUCUUGCAUGAGACAUUGCUGCCCUAUAAACAUUUCCUAACUCCUACCAUGUCACAUUUCAUCUGAAGGGAGAACCUAAAAGUUUCAUGGAUUUGUCCUAGAUUUGCAGUUGGCACUGUUUGUUUGGGACUGAAAUAUAUAUGGAUGUGAGUACAUUGAGGAAGUUAUUGGGCCACUCUUUUCUUCAGUUUUUAAUAUGGAAUUAGAGACUGAAACUUUUGCUUCUCUAUUUGCUAUACUUCUGAGGGCCCAUUUGUUACUUAACCCUACCAAGUCUAGAAAUAAGUAACGAAGUCAAUAUAUUGUUCUGAUAUUUGAAUAGCAUAGAAUAAUAUAGUACAUUUUUUUCCUUCAAACUGCAGUAUUACUUAUGUAAGUUUGUUUCUGGCAGAUGGGGUUUGAUUUUACCAUGAAAGCUCUUUAUACUGGUGUCUGGAUUGCUGCUUUUUCUCUCUUUAUGGAGUUGCUGGGUUUCAAUACCCAAAAGUGGAUAACUGCUGGAGGGUUUGGGACAGUGUUGCUUACACUUGCUGGUCGUGAGGUACUACAAAACAUGUGGCUGAUAUGAUUAAUUUGUGCUGUGGUGCUAAUAUCUAUCAUAAUUUGUUGCAGAUUUUCACUAACUUCCUCUCAAGUGUCAUGAUCAAUGCCACACGCCCAUUUGUAGUCAAUGAAUGGAUCGAUGUAAAGAUAGAUGGUGUUGAUGUCUCUGGCAUUGUUGAGGUAUGCCUUAAUUUAACUUUGGGCUAAACUACACCAUCUAGUUAUGAUAUUAUUUGUAGCAUGAUUUUAUUUGUAUGUACUAUCAGUUUUUCCCGCGGAAGAUUUGGUCAAUACUUUGAAUCAUUUCUCUGACUUGAAGUUAUUUGAUUUGAUUUUCAGCAUGUUGGUUUGUGGUCUCCAACAAUCAUUAGAGGUGUUGAUCGAGAAGCGAUAUACGUUCCUAACCAUAAGUUUACAGUUUCUAUAUUAAGAAAUAACACUCAGAGGACCCAUUGGCGUAUUAAGACCUAUCUUGCUAUUAGCCACAUGGAUGCCGGAAAAAUUGGGGUAAGUACCACAAGGAAUUACUUAACAUAAUCCCCUUCUCUUAUCUGUUCGAUUUUUUCCAGUGUAUUAAAAUUCUAUCUUAGCCAUGCAACUUUGUUUUUCUUUGGCAGACUAUAGUUGCUGACAUGAGGAAAGUGUUGGCAAAAAAUCCACAUAUAGAACAACAAAAGCUGCACAGGAGAGUAUUCUUUGAGAAAAUUGAUCCAAAAAAUCAAGCACUUAUGGUAAUUCCUUACAUCGAAUAAUUCCAUCUUUUAGUUGAAGUACUAUUGCACAAUCAGUCCUUACAUUGGUACAUCUUUUUAGUAUUGGGUUGCAUGCACCAACCUUUUCAACCAAAAUCUUAAGCUAAGCACUGUUACACCGCCUCGCCUAGCACCUGGGCAUUUUGUCUAGGCCUUCUCCACAUAGAUGUGUUUUGGGCAUGAUGUAUGCAUGAAAAUGGGGCAAAUAGAGAUGGAAGAGUUUUUUUUUCUUUUUUCCCCCAAACACGCAGGAGAGCUAUGUAUCAUUAUGUUAAGAAGAAAAAAGGGUAUAAAGAAACCCUUACAACACAUACCUACACACUUCUAAGGAGCGAGGUGCGAAAUACCUCUACUCUAAAUUUCCUUUAUUUAGCAUGGAAUGAAUCUAACUGUCCAUAAAAUGUAUAAACGCUUAGCAAUUCCUGGAUGCUAGGCAGAUCCCAACCGCCUGCCUAGGGCCUAGCACUUUUUGAAACACUGAGUUGUCCACUUGUUUGCAUUCGACUGGUGUCAAUAUCCUGCUUUCAUGCAUAUUUAUCUAUUUGUAUACAUUUUUGGGAUACAAGACUAUAUUGCCUUGUAUUGCUUUUGAGUUUUAUAUUGGCCACCAACUCAGUUGCUUUUUUUUUGUGUGUGUUUCUUGCAGAUUUUAGUAUCCUGCUUUGUAAAGACGUCACAUUUUGAGGAGUUUCUCAAUGUCCAGGUAAUAUGCCUUUCCAUCGUUUGAUAUUUGUCUUGCAAGAAAGCCUAGGAACAUGUUUUGCUGGCAUUCACCUAUGGUGUCUGCUGAAAAUAUAUGGUCUGUCACUCUGGACCCUUAUUUUCUAGCUUGUGUUCUUCAAAUAAAUUACUCAGGUCAGUAGGAAUGCUUAUAGAGUAGAUCAUUUUGACAGUUUCACACAUUGAGUGUCACUAUGUGGAAACUUUCAGAACUAUGAGUAUUUCAGUUUACAGUUUACAGUUUCCUUCCAUUAUGGUGUUAGUGUUCUGAGCAGUUGCCAAGAUGACUGAAAAAAGCAAAUUAAAUCUAGCCAUUCUACCGUACAUCAUUCCAUUCAAGAAAAUAAGAUUUUAAAUAAAUGGGCAUAGAACUGUAUGACUACUUUAGGAUGUCCUAAACUCCUAAUGUUUGAAUCUUGGGCCCAGUAUAUGUGGUUUUACUUGAACUCUGCCAUUGAAUCUUGAUUAUAACAAAGGUUAGGAUGCCAUUUUGGCAUGACAUCCAUUUAAAUCAAAGAAUUUCAGCUUGAUUUUAGGCUUCAUUUUAUAUAAACUAGGAGGCAUCACACCAUGCUAAAAAAAAAUAAACCAUACUAAAAAAAUAAUUAACAUGGGUUUUCUGUGUUCCAAUUACACAGGAAGCUGUUAUGUUGGAUCUUCUUAGAAUAGUUGGGCAUCACAAAGCAAGGCUUGCUACCCAAAUUCGAACAGUUCAGAAAUCAUAUGGCAAUGCAGACUUUGAUAACAUUCCUUUUGGAGAAGACAUGUAUAGUCGUGUCCGUGGCCGUCCACUUCUGAUUGAUACAUCUGCAAGGAUCAGUGAUGACAAACCCAAGCCUCGACCUGUAUCAUCACGUGAGGAGCAUAAAGUCAAGACAAAUGGCUCGGUAGAGAUCAAGUCUGCUUCACCUGAGAAUGCUAGUUUAAGCAACUCUGAAAAGCAGGAACAGAAAAAAAUGGUACCUGAAGAUGCUCGGGCGAAGAAGAUUAAGAGUGAUAAUGUGACACCAGUAACACCGUCUUUAGAUCCUGCUACGUCAACUUCUAAGACUGGUAAAGGGAAGACACGUGAAGCAGAGCCCACUGAGCGGCAAGGUGAUGGGUCAGUCUCGGUGGCUAAUCCAAAGAAAGAAUCUAGACCAGCUUUUGAAGAUAACAUUGUUCUGGGCGUAGCCCUUGAGGGCUCCAAGAGGACACUGCCUAUUGAAGAAGGAAAUCCUUAUCUAUCACUAUCUGAGACUGAGCUGGACAACGAAGAGGCGGCUUCAUCACCGAAGGAUAAGAUAGGUCAAAGCCCAAAACUUUGAGGUCAAGAGAAAAGCCGUUCAGAGGAAUCUCAGAUAGGUCAUCCGAGUUCAAACUGUAUAUCCUUGUGAAGAUUUGUCACCAAGCCUACCUUUUUUGUGCGCUUGUGCAAA
rnacentral:lncRNA from 1 species